CCUACGGGUGGCUGCAGUGAGGAAUAUUGGUCAAUGGACGAGAGUCUGACCCAGCCAAGUAGCGUGAAGGAUGACUGCCCUAUGGGUUUUAAACUUUUUUUAUAUGGGAAUAAAAUGUUCCACGUGUGGGAUUUUGUAUGUACCAUAUGAAUAUGGAUCGGCUAACUCCGUGCCAGCAGCCGCGGUAAUACGAAGGAUCCGAGCGUUAUCCGGAUUUAUUGGGUUUAAAGGGAGCGUAGGUGGAUUGGUAAGUCAGUUGUGAAAGUUUACGGCUCAACCGUAAAAUUGCAGUUGAAACUGGCAGUCUUGAGUACAGUAGAGGUAGGCGGAAUUCGUGGUGUAGCGGUGAAAUGCGUAGAUAUCACGAAGAACACCGGUUGCGAAGGCAGGUCACUGGACUGCAACUGACACUGAGGCUCGAAAGUGUGGGUAGCAAACAGGAUUAGAUACCCUUGUAGUC
rnacentral:rRNA from 1 species